CUUCCCUGGAUGACUCGUAUUUUGACCCCUGCUGACUACGGGGUCAUGCUGCUCAUCAGUAACGGUGCCGCGUUGAUCAAUUUAUUGUUCGGCUUCGGUUUGGCACAGGCAUUGCCAACACUAUUCAGCAAUGCUGAAAUGGACAGUUCCCGCCGUGCUGUCAGCACUACAAUUAUCCUGUCGAUCGGCGGCAUACUUUCUGCUUUGUACCUAGCGACCGCACUGCUUUC
rnacentral:misc_RNA from 1 species